GUUUGGUUCAGCGAUUUGAAAACAGUAUAUUUGGAACCGCUUGGAUAUGAGAAUCUGCUUUUUAACCAUACAUUGAUGAAAUCUAAAUAGAGAACAAGCAUUUCCGAUGACAGCUGCUCUCUCAGAUUGAAAUGCACUGCAAAUGUAAAAUACACACCGGAUUUCAAAGUCUUUGCAAAAAAGAAUGUAACAUAUCACAUUCCUUUUUUUAUUGAUUGAUUACAUGUUGAGUAUUGAUUGGUUACAUGUUGAAAUGAUAUUUCGGGUAUAAUAAAGUGGGGUCAGGGAAA
rnacentral:lncRNA from 1 species